rnacentral:rRNA from 1 species
ACGGAAGGCAGCAGUGGGGAAUAUUGGACAAUGGGGGAAACCCUGAUCCAGCGACGCCGCGUGAGUGAAGAAGUAUUUCGGUAUGUAAAGCUCUAUCAGCAGGGAAGAUGAUGACGGUACCUGACUAAGAAGCCCCGGCUAACUACGUGCCAGCAGCCGCGGUAAUACGUAGGGGGCAAGCGUUAUCCGGAUUUACUGGGUGUAAAGGGAGUGUAGGCGGCCAGACAAGUCAGGUGUGAAAACCCGGGGCUUAACCCCGGGACUGCACUUGAAACUGCCCGGCUAGAGUGCAGGAGAGGCAAGCGGAAUUCCUAGUGUAGCGGUGAAAUGCGUAGAUAUUAGGAAGAACACCGGUGGCGAAGGCGGCUUGCUGGACUGAGACUGACGCUGAGGCUCGAAAGCGUGGGGAGCAAACAGGAUUAGAUACCCUGGUA